AAACACACAACGCCCACUACGGCCCAGGAGAUCCCACUUCCGCCGCGAGCUCCCGGCGCCGGAAGUCCUCGCGGGGCUCGCUGGGAAACUACGCCACGCAAGCAUUCCCCAGCUCCCAGAAAGCCGUUCGUCCACUGAGCCCGCCUUCUCCAUGACCGAUGGCCAAUGAACAGGAAGAAUUCUCAGGCUGCCUAUUAGAAGACAGAAACUCCAUACGCGUCAUACACCUGCACCCGGGAGGAAAGGCGAGGCUCUGCAUCUAGAUUUACCUCGUUCUCUUUUGUCUCCGCUUUUUUUUCACAUUUCCUUGCGCCCCUGGCCCUUGAGCGACAAAAAGGGGAAGCCAAGGCUGGCCCGAGGAACGGAGAGGGCACAUGGCCUAGCCACGAGUGGAGCUUCUGCUCCGCCCGAAGGGAUGCGCUGGAGCGGCCUCUUCCUUCUGCCACGGUCUUUCUUUGCCAACUAGUAGGUGAGGGCCGAAAGGCCGCGGGCCGUGGAGCUCGGGCCGGGGAGACUCUUUUCCAGCCUCUUGGAUCCCGCUCCUCCCAAUUCCUUGGAGAGGCGUCGAGCUUGCUGGGAAGUGCCCUCGGGUAAGGGGCGCGGAGCCUCCUGCGGCGAUCCUCUGUCUUCGGGUCGCCUUAGGACGCGGCAAGCGGGACACUGACCUGGCCGGAGUCCCGCGUUCUCUCACCAGCUGCUUUGUCCACGAGUUGCUGCUGGGCGUCAGGGGUCCCACGGCCCGGAGGGAUCUAGAGCAGGGGGGCUCGGGGUCCUUUCCAUACCCUCGGAUCCUCUCCCACUCUCUCCACGCCUCGACCCGGAGAUGAUUUCAGGCUCCAGAUCUCUUUCAUAAAUGGAAAGAGUUUUCUUGGUUUGUUUUGUCUUAAUUAUGUAGGCGUUGCAUGCUUGGAAGAGAAAAUUUAGAAAAUUAAUUGGAAAACCAUAAAGAUAGCUUUCUCGUGAUAGCCACAGGGCUUGCUCCCUCAUUCUGCUCAUAUGUCACCCCCUCAAGGAGGCCUUCCCCAGCUCUGUAAACAACCUGUGCUCGGCCUUAACUUUUCUCCCUAAUGUUUAUCACUACCUGACAUAUACGUGUUUCCCACGACUCAACGAUAAGUGUUCAUGAGGGCAGACACUUUUUAAUGCCCUAUGACAAGCACCUAGAAUUGUGCCUGGCACAUGGUAGAUGCUUAGUAAAUAUUUGUUUAAUGAAUGAAGGUAAAAAACAUUUCUAAUACGACCAUCCAGGAAUAAGUACUAUUCAUGUUUUAGUCUGUUCUUACAGUUUUACUGUUCAGACAGUUGUAUGCCUGUGAAUAUAUAUGUAUUAUAUAUAUGUAUAUAUUUUUUUAUUUUUAUUUUUAUUUUUUUGAGACAGAGUCUCGCUCUGUCACCCAGGCUGGACUGCAGUGGCGCGAUCUUGGCUCACUGCAACCUCCGCCUCCUGGAUUCAAGCGAUUCUCCUGCCUCAGCCUCCCGAGUAGCUAGGAUUACAGGCAUGUGUCACCACGCCCGGCUAAUUUUGUAUUUUUAGUAGAGACGGGGUUUCUCCGUGUUGGUCAGGCUGGUCUCGAACUCCUGACCUCAGGUGAUCUGCCCGCCUCGGCCUCCCAAAGUGCUGAGAUUACAGACGUGAGCCACCGUGCCUGGCGGAAUUUUCAUAUUUUAAGUCCCCCACCCUUGGACAUUUAGAUUUUUUCCAUCUUUCUGUAUUUUGCAGAUAUGCUUCUACAUACACCUUUAUUCAUUUGCUUGAACAUUUCCCUGAGAAAAACUAGAAAUGGAAUUGCCAGAUUACUUUGUGUACAUAUUUCCAAACUGUCCUCCAGAAAGAAUGUAAUGCUUUGAACUUCCACUUGAGAAUCAAAUGUUUACCUUCCUCUGUUCCUCCAGAUUUGGACAUUUACAGUGUUCAGCCGUUGUUGUGGCAUUCCAAUUCAAUUGGGAAACAGCUUGAUGUAGCGUCCCCAUAAGGUCCACAGUAAUUAAUUUUUUUUUUUUUUUUUUUGGUUCAGUGGUGCAAUUUCAUGGCUCACUGCAACCUCCACCUCCCAGGUUCAAGCGAUCCUCCCAUCUCAGCCUCCCUAGUAGCUGGGAUUACAGGUGCACACCACCACACCAGGCUAAUUUUUGUAUUUUUAGUAGAGAUGGGGUUUCACCAGGUUAGCCAGGCUGGUCUUGAACUCCUGACCUCAAGGGAUCCGCCUGCCUCAGCUUUCCAAAGUGCUGGGAUUACAGGUGAGAACCACUGCACCCAUCCUAUUAAACUUUUAAAUCUUGAUAGUUACCAUGUAUAGAGUGUUUAUAUGCCAGGCAUUGAGCUAAGUCUUUUACGUCUCGCGCUCAUUCUGUGCAACAGCCCAAUGGGAGAAAUUCCAUGAAUAUAGUUACCAUUUCCUUGAUUUCUAGAGAAGCUGGAUAUGUUUUCUUUUUUUCCAGUAUUAUUUCUAUUUAUCCUUUUGUGAAUUGUCUGUUGUUAUUUUCAUUGGAAUAUUCUCUUUUUUUGACAGAGUCUCACUCUGUUGCCCAGGCUGGAGUGCAAUGGCACAAUCUCGGCUCAUUGCAAACCUCUGCCUCCUGGGUUCAAGCAAUUCUCCUGCCUCAGCCUCCCAAGUAGCUGGGAUUACAGGCACCCGCCACCACGCCCAGCUGAUUUUUUGUAUUUUUAGUAGAGACGGGGUUUUGCCAUGUUGGCCAGGCUGGUCUCGAACUCCUGACCUCAGGUGAUCCACCCAUUUUGGCCUCCCAAAGUACUGGGAUUACAGGCGUGAGCACCCGUGCCCGGCCACACCAUUAUUUUGAAGAGAAAAUUUGAUAAAAAUAAUUGGUCAGUGGUAAAAAUGGUUAACUACCCAACUGGUAAGAGAGAUUUCUAAGAGUUACAGAAUAGCAACUGCAGGAAGGAACUUGUGCCCUUAGGACUGAGGAAGUAAAAAGGAAGGAAACUUGGAAACACGGAAGAGCCCUUCCCCUUUCAAUUCAAGGUGGAGACUGGACCUCAGAAGAGGGAGUGGGUGCCCCGAGAACUCACAGCUAGUGGACAGCGGAAAGGGCAGGAGCCAGACCAAGGUGAGGACAGCGGAACUGAAGGCCGCUGGUUACCUCUCCUGCCCUCUGCUGGCCACAGUGGAGAAGACAGCCCCUCCCUCCUGCUCUGACCUGACAGUGUUCAUCCAUCGCCCUGUAUUAGCGAAGAACAACAUCAAGCUGGCUAGCAAGGAACUGUAUACAGGGUCCAGCUGGGUAUCACACUGGAUCUCACCCAAAGCUGAGAUGUGAUCCAGCUCCGUAUCACAAAGCAGAACGAAAAGGAUGUGUUUGGGCUGAGAGGCCAUACAUUGAUGGAGUCUCGCUCUGUCGCCCAGGCUGGAGUCCAGUGGCGCGAUCUCGGUUUACUGCAAGCUCCGCCUCCCGAGUUCAUGCCAUUCUCCUGCCUCAGCCUCCUGAGUAGCUGGGACUACAGGCGCCCGCCACCACGCCUGGCUAAUUUUUUUUUUUUUUUUUUUGAAAUGGAGUCUUGCUCUGUUGCCCAGGCUGGAGUGCAGUGGCGCGAUCUCAGCUCACUGCAAACUCCGCCUCCCGAGUUCAUGCCAUUCUCUUGCCUCAGCCUCCCGAGUAGCUGGGACUACAGGAGCCCACCACCAUGCCCGGCUAAUUUUUUGUAUUUUUAGUAGAGACGGGGUUUCACCAUGUUAGCCAGCAUGGUCUCCAUCUCCUGACCUCGUGAUCCACCUGCCUCGGCGUCUUUUUUAUAUUUUUAGUAGAGAUUUCACUGUGUUAACCAGGAUGGCCUCGCUCUCCUGACCUCAUGAUCUGCCCGCUUCAGCCUCCCAAAGUGCUGGGAUUACAGGCGUGAGCCACCGCGCCCGGUUAUUUAUUUAUUUAUUUAUUUAUUUUUUGAGACCGAGUCUUGCUCUGUAGCCCAGGCUGGAGUGCAGUGGCGCCAUCUUGGCCCACUGCAACCUCCACCUCCCACAUUGAAGCAGUUCUCCUGCCUCAGCCUCCCAAGUAACUGGGAUUACAGGAGCACACCACCACAUCUGGCUAAUUUUUUGUAUUUUUAGUAGAGAUGGCGUUUCACCAUGUUCGCUAGGCUAGUCUGAAACUCCUGACCUCAUGAUCCACCCGCCUUGGCCUCCCAAAGUGCUGGGAUUACAGGCAAUUCUGCUGCCUCAGCCUCCCAAGUAGCUGUGAUUACAGGUGUGUGCCACCAUGCCCGGCUAAUUUUUGUAUUUUUAGUAGAGACGAGGUUUCGGCAUGUUGCCCAAGCUGGUCUCAAACUCCUGACCUCAAGUGAUCUACUCGCCUUGGUCUCCUAAAGUGUUAAGAUUACAGGCAUGAGCCAUCGGGACCGGCCCACUGUUUUUUCUCGCUAGAAAAUACAGUCUAAAGCGGCCAGGUGCGGUGGCUCACGCCUGUAAUCCCAGCACUUUGGGAGGCAGAGGUGGGCAGAUCACGAGGUCAGGAGAUCGAGACCAUCCUGGCUAACACGGUGAAACCCCAGCUCUACUAAAAAUACAAAAAAAAAGCCAGACGUGGUGGCAGGCACCUUGUCCCAGCUACUCGGCAGGCUGAGGCAGGAGAAUGGCGUGAACCCAGGAUGCGGAGGUUGCAGUGAGCUGAGAUCACGCCACUGCACUCCAGCCUGGAUGACAGAGCAAUACUCCGUCUCAAAAAAAAAAAAAAAAAAAAAAAGAAAAUAUAGUCUAUAAAUAAUGAAGAAAGUAAAGUGAACCUGGGAGGUGGAGGUUAUAGUGAGCUGAGAUCAUGCCACUGCACUUCAGCCUGGGCAGCAGCAAGACUCCGUCUCAAAAAAAAGAAAAAAAAAAAGAAAUAUGCGAGCUGCUAAGCUAGGCAGUUCUGGCUCAAGAUCUCUCAUGAUACUGCAGACACCACACCAACGAGGACCCCAGUCCUCUGGCACUGGAGGACCCACUUAGAAGGCGGAUGACUCACAUGGCUCUUGGCAGGAGACCUCAGUUCCUCCCCACAUAGGCCUCCCUAUAGGACUGCUUGAGUGUCCCAUUUACCAAAUGAUCUAAAUAUGUUCCGGUUUUGAUUGGCUGCUCUGCAAUGUGGGCCGUUAUCUAGCUGAUUCGGUGGGGCUUGAAGUGUCAGUUCCUGCUGCAGGGAUGUUAUAUGGAACCUUUGGCAGGCCGCUACAGACGAAUCAUAAUAUAAACCUGUGCUAGUUAUUGAUUACGUCCCAGCUCCUGCGUUGCCUGCUCUGUGAAAUGGUUCUGGCCCUUUAGUUUUUCCUUUACCAGUUGGCAUGAUCUUAAGCUUUGUCAGUAGAGGGCGCUGGAGAGACAUUGCAGGAGACUGGAGUUUCCCUUCCUGCUUCUGGUGUGUUCUCUCUAGGCUCCGGCACGACGGGUGGCUUCUGCAGCACACAGGGCUUCGCCAGCACCCAGCUCCUGCAGCAUGGGCAGCUCCUGUGACAGCAGGCGCCCACAGCCUGCAAAGCGUCUCCAGUGCCGCCGCCUCAGUGAACCGCAACCAGCGGCACCUAGCAGCUUUCUCCGCCACCCUCUUCAGGUAGUUCUGUAGCAGCGCGUUUCUCAUGAGACACUUCCCUGUGAGCAGCUUUUUCUACCCUUGAGGAUGGAUUUCCAGCAAAUUCUGCCCAUGUGGUACCACAGCCACUUCUCUGCCAUUCAGUGAAACUGCCGUUGUGCCCUCUUCAAGGUCUGGAUCUAAGCCCAGGGACCAGGAAACCUCUUGCUUGAGUGCUGGAACUCAGGCCAGAAGGCAGGAAGCCCGCCUGACCCCACGUCUCAGGCUGCCAGAGGAGCGUGCGAUGAGGAAGGCUGGACUGUCUUCACAGGACACCAGAGAGAAGCCUCAAGCCACUGCCCCCUGACAAGUCUCAGCUCUCCAGCCUGUCUCCUCACUCCCCUCCCCUCCACAUGGGGGGGUUGGGGUGGGGGCGGGGAAGGUUCGGGGCAGGGGUCAUUUCAGCUACUGGGCACCAGUCUCCUCCUCAUGUUUAUCCUGUUCCCUUUGCUUGAAAGGUUCGUACUCCAGAUCCUUGUAAAACCGCUUCUCACCCUUUGAGUCUCAGCUUAAAUGUCCCCUCCUUGGAGGGGUCUUCCCUGACAAUGAAGCUCCGACCGUCCUCUCCUGUUUUACCCAGUUCAUUUCUUUCUGGCAUUUGUAACUACUUGAAGUUAAAGUGUGUGCCAUGUA